GUGGUUGGCUCGGCUCAGAAGUCUCAUCAAUGUUGAAAGGGAAGUUUUCAAGGUCAUCAGGAUAAAAAGAGGUGAAGGUAGAGGUACCAUGGUAUGGGACUAGGUCUUCAACAUUGAAAAUAUUGCUGAUCUCCAUGCUGGCUGGGAGGUCAAGGACAUACGCAUUGGCACCUAUCCUCUUGAGUACCUUGAACGGACCUGUGCUACGAGCAUGUAGCUUGCUCGCUUUUCCCCUAACAAAACGUUGUGGCUUGAUUCUUACCAUCACAGGAUAUAGAAAAAUCAAUAAUUCUAAAUCAGGGCGAUGGAUGGAACUGAUAUUACAGGUGAAGGAAGGUCUAUGGGGCUGGUUGUAUACUUAAAAAUUUCAGGUUCAUCCAAUGGGGGGGAUUGGAAGAAACAACCAGAAACAGAAAUUGGUAACUAAGGAGAUUUAAUAUAACUUUCAAUCCAGCAGUCUAAUGGACUUCAGACUUGAAUCAAAAGGAGGGGAAAGGGACAACAACAUACUCAAAUCUCAGACCAAUCUGAUUGUCUGAUACUCAGGAAUCAAGGAUCGAAAAUCAGACUAAGGUGCUGUCGCAUAAGCUAUCACUGGCAAGAACAGUACUAGGAAAUAUCAGAAUUUAAUAAGAACUUGUAGUCUGUAGGGAACUAGUAAUAGAUCAAUCUAACACCGAAGAUAGUACUGAUGUUACUUCAGAAGCCAAAGAUCUUGUUCCCUUACAGAUAGCAAUAGGUAAGUCAAGAGAUGGAUCAGAAAUACUAGGAGAUUCAGGAAUGGGAUUACCAGACGGAGUAGAACGUGGAUCAGGAGGUGGCCGUUGACUGGGUAGAGUUGGUGUAGCUGUGGUGGUGUCUAUUUGCUUCUCACAAUUCUGACGAAUAUGCUUUUUCACAGGAGGAGGUUGAUUAAUGUCUUGUUUCUCCCCCUGAACUGAAGGAACUGAAGGUGCUGUUGCAUAAUCACAAGAGUUUCCAUUUUCUGUUUAAAACUGAUUUCAUUUCCUUUCCCUUCCCUUCCCUUCCCUUCCCUUCCCUCUACUUGCAACCAGACUGAGCCAAUGUGAUUAUGUAUCUAAAAUUGUGUGGUAAAGAGUGACUGUUAUGCUAAAGUUUCAUACAGGAAUUUUAGUACCAUCUGUUUUAGGACAUGUUAUACUUGAGCGUACUAAGAAUGCUGUCUAUUCUGCAUGCUGGGAUUAAAGCUCCAGGUAGCAUACAGCUCACUUGUUUAAUCAAAUCAUAGAAGAACUGUGAAGGCAAAGGUAUGAGUCAUCAUCAAAGGUUACUAGAUCGACUCUACCUGCAAAUAGAUGUAGCCUAUUCAAUGGCCAGCUAAUGGUGGUGCUUCUACCAAAAUGAGUAUACCCCUUCUGUUUCUUUGAAAUUUAUUCUGUAAGAGCUUGUCCUUCUACUUCUAAUUUUUAAUAGGCAAGCAAGAAAUUUUUUGAGUUAAACAGUCACAGAGCCUUAGAUACAAUCUGCUGUAACUAACAGCACUAUUUCUGAAACACAGAACUUGGAAUGCUUUGAAUAUACCCUCUGUUUGACUUGACAACUUUA